CACUCUUAGGGUUGAAAAAAGGUUACAAGGAUGAGAAAAAACUCAUUAUCUUCCUCAAUCUCUUCAUCUUUGUAACAUUCAAAAAUUAAAUCAUAUGUUUAAUUCACACAUUAAACAUGAUUUAAUCUCAAAUGUGUAACUCUCUUACACUUAACCUCUUAAGUUUAUAAAGUUACAAAGAUGAGAAGACUCAUUGUCUU
rnacentral:lncRNA from 1 species